UUUACUCCUUGAGCCAGACCUGGAGGACUUCUUCUGGAGCACUCUCUUUCCACUUCUGAGUGCUGUUUCUCAGUUUCAGGCUGCCUGGAGUCCAAGCCAGAGAUACGAGGGAAUAGAAGGGGAAACUCAGUGCUGGUUUGCACCGUGAAGAUUUUCAUCUUCAGAAAAUCUGAGGAGAAAAAGAAGGACUAAAAACAGCAGCAAAAGAAGCAGCUUUAACAAAAAUGGACUGACAUUUGCACUUUUACAUUCUUCUUGGGUGAAGCUUGAGUGGCUGCGUAAAGACAUCACUGGAUGAUUUCAUUUCUGCACAGUACUCUCUGACUAUGUAAAAUUUCAAGGUCCCAGGAGUCAAAUAUUGGCCUGGAAAAUAUGGC